GUCCACCUCUAUAACAUUUAUGUGUAUUUUUGAACAAGCUGUCAUUUGUCUUUUGCAAUUCAGCUGAUUGUUUUUAAAAAGUUACAGUCAUAUUUUUCUUCUGGAGUUUUGGGGUUGAUAACUAACACUAUUGUACUGUUUUGUUUAUUUGUAUAGGUCACUAUGUGACACAAAGGGCUGUGGGAAGCUUUCAAAAGACCAGUUUGCCUUGGCUUUUCACUUAAUCAAUCAGAAGUUAAUAAAAGGCAUUGACCCUCCUCAUAGUCUCACUCCUGAGAUGAUUCCACCAUCAGACAGAUCCAGUUUACAAAAGGUAAGAUAACAUCAAAGAAGACCUGCAUGCCCUAGAAAAGGACAAGUUCCGUGUUGGGUCACAGAGUUGGAGGGACAGAGCACUCAGAGUUGGUAGUUAGUGUGUGUCUGUGAACAUGCACAUAGACCUUCUCUGUACAUCCUUGAGCGGUAGCUUGUCAACUUCUCUAUUCAUUAUUCAUGACAGCUGCACUUUACUGUAUUAAAUUGAAGAGAUUUCUAAAGAAAAUUUUGAAACAGGGUCUCAAGAUAGCCCAGACUUACAUUGAACACUAUUUAACUGAAAAUUCCCUUGAACUUGUGCCCCUUCCUGCUUUCACUUCUGGAAGAUCAUAGGCAUGUGCCUUGCCUAGUCAACUUUUAUGAAUAGAGUUGAAAUGGUAGCUGUAGGAAUUAAAUUGUUAAAUUUUACUUGAUGAUUCGCUUUUACAGAAGACAGUACAAAUUUGGAAACAAAAUCUAGGAGAUAGUAAUUGAUUAGUAUCAAUUUUACAUCAAAAUAGCCUUCAGGAAAAACUGUAUGUUGAGGAUACAUCUGUAUGUGGCUUUUGCCAAAGGAUGACUCUUCAUUCUUAAGUACACAGCUGAAUUUCAUAUCUAAACAGCUGGAAGUUAGUUGGGUUUCUGAUUAGCAGUGGGAAUUUUCAGAACAUAUUCAUUUUAUUCACAAUUCCCUUUCAAUUUUUUCUUUCUUAUCUAGACCCCCUUUUUAAUAUAGCACAUUUACAAUAUCCUGGUUUAUAAUAGACCUUUCAAAGGACUUAUAUAUGAUGGGUUUAGUUGCUUUCAAAAUUAAAUAACCAAGUGUUGUUUGAACCUGUAGUCUUAGCUCCUGGGAAGGCUGACACUAAAGAAUUCUUGAAUCCAGAAGUUCAAGGCUAUCCUGGGCAGCACAAGGAAGCUGCAUCUCCAAAAAAAAAAAAAAAAACCAAACAAAAUAAAGCAUUCCACCCAAACUUUGUAUCUUUAAUCCUCUUCUCACCAGUAUAUAAGUAUUUCUAUAGCGAUUUUUCAAGGUCGUAUAUAACAGGAACUAUCAAAUUGUGCUAUUAAGUAUUCUCUCUCAAAUAUUAAUAAAAUGUUUUGAUUUUUCAUUAAUAACAGUUAAAAAUUUCAUUUUAACCUAGCAAAAGUCAAAAUUGGAUUUUAUUCCCAUGUAAAACUAAAUAGAAUUCACUACUUCCAAGUCCCGAGAAUUGGAUAUAUAAAAAGAAUUUGUACUUUUGAGUUUUCAGAUGGGUCACUUUGUGAACUUUUGCAGCCUCUUGAUGUAUGACAUGGGUUCUUUAGGUUGUGGAGAGGCUGAAAGGAAGUCGUCACAGAAAGAUGAAGGGUCCGUAUUUUCACUUAUACGUUCUGCUCUGUUCCUGUUGCUCAGCUGUGCAACAUUGUAGCCUGCACUUAUGAAGUUUCUCCUCUGUGUUCUUAAUUUAUAAUGACUGAAAUGCUUAUCAACUCUAGUCUCCCAGAGAACAGAACUUUGUCAAUUUUUUUCUAUUCUUUGAAAUCUGUUUGCUAGUAGACACUUGAGAUUGUUUCUGUUACCCAGUUUAUAAUUUAGUAGAUUUCUCAGAAGUCUACUCAAUAGAGGAUACCUUGUCUCUUGGUUCCAGAUUUAUGGAAAUACUUUAUAACUGUUGGUCUUGGUAUUAUAUAACCGUUGUCUUAUCUAUUAACCAAAUAAAAUAAAAUAAAAUAAAAUUUGUACUUACUUUCAAAUAAUCUCUUUUCUUCUUACAAUCUGAUUUAUUU
rnacentral:lncRNA from 1 species